UUUAGGUUUCAGGUACGAGCUACGUAACUCUAUACACACCUACCUAAAAUUAUGGUGGUUUGUGAAGACAUUUCUCUUCUUGACAAAUAUGUGACUUAUAAGAACCAAAAUAAAGCACUAUGGGGACUUUAAAGGGACAAUGAUGUCAGUACCUCAUUAGCAUAAAUACACACCCACCUUAUACACCAGACCUGACUGCACACAACAUUAAUGGAACAGUCGGUUUAUUAUCCGAAAAAAGUAAAAUUGCACUUAAAGAUCUGUCUACACAACUUAAAACAUACAACAGCUAAAAUCAAAGAAAAGUACGAAAAAGUGUGCAGACAUAAAUAAAAGCAAGUGCACUCAACUCGCUGUUACGAAACAUAUUAAGGCAACAGAAAAAUUACAACACAAGAGAAUAACUGCAAAUGAACUUAAAGCUUAUGCUUCUGUGGCUGCCUCUUUGCAGCUGUUCCUCGAUUUCUCACAAAGUCUCUGAUAUUUUGCACUGUUCUCUGGGCUAACACAGGGUCUUCUACCAGCUUGCAGUGACUGCAUUCAUUUUUGGUGGCCAAUUUUCCUUUAGAUAUGUGAUCUCUGAAAUGUCGCAUUACUGCAGCAACUUCAGCCUUAGACCACGUUCUCUUUGUUAUUCUUCUGGAAUCCCGUUGUUGAGCAGCAUCGUUUCCUGGAAGACAUAAAAAGUAGAAAACACCGUCACAAAAAGAAACCAAAUGUGACUUUUUAUGUGACAAAUGACAUUUUAUCUGUGGACACUGAACAUUCUUAAAAGCAGUUAAUUAUCCACUAUUUUAGUUAUGUUUUUUUCCUUGCCUCAUGGUUACAUGGUUUCUAAAAAAAAAUAAAAUGAAUCUUAUGCAUCUUGGAGACAAAAAGCAAUUGUGCUUUUUGGUUCUGACAUAUUAAAGGUCUUCUGGAAAUAUGAUAAAAUCUGCUGGGUCAAAAAUAUACACAGCAACUUGACCUAUCAGUUUUGAAGAUGUAAAAACGUGUGAAACAAAAUGUUUUUAGUUGCAUGCCUUCUGAACUUCUUGUGAGAGAUUAUGAUUAUCAUGAAAUAAGAGGUAGCCCUGCAAAGAGAAACUCUCGAGAAGCUGAAUCUUAAGGCUCGACUGAAAUAUGCUGCUGAUCACAUGGAGAAACAAAUGGCUUCUGAAAGAAAAUUCUGUCGUCAGAUGAAAGAAAAAUUGUGCUGUUUGGCUACAACGACCCUAAAUAUGAAGGAAAAAAGGUGAAGCCUUUAAACCUAAGAACACUAAACCUAUCGUCAACCAUGAUGAUGGUUGUAUUAUUGCCCUAGGGCUGUUUUGCUGCCAGUGGAACUGGUGUUUUACAGUAAAUGGAAUCAUGUAAAAGGGUUAAUUCAAUAUUAUCCAGGAAAACCUAAAAUUAUUAGCCAAAAAGUUGAUCUUGGACACAGUUGUAUGUUUCAACAAGACAAUGAUCGCUUCUCAAUACGCGUACUUCUCUGUAGUUGUGUACUCUCAGACUCAUGAAAUGUCAUCAGUUGGAGACCAAGUACUGUUCCAAUUCAAAGUACGCAUCAAACCAAGUAUGCAUGAAAUACCCGAUGUGGACUAACUCCGCCCACUUUACCAAGUCUGCAUCGGACCAGACUUGUGUAGACUUGAGAAGUGAAAUUACCCAGAAUGCAUUUUGCAAGACAUGACGGAGGAGUGAACACAGCGGUGAGUAAAAAAAUUCUGAAAUAUUAGCGUUAUUGUUUAACAGAACAUAGUUUUAACGGUGUUUUAGGCGAGAAUGUAGCUGUUUAGAAUGUUGAUAUGGGGUCAGUCUCUCCACAUCAAGCUCACUAAAAAAUUUGUUCCGACAAUUUCGGACAUCUGGGGACCAAACGGCGGACCGAGGUGACCCGGGGGUCUGAGGCCAUCCGGCGCUCAGCUGCUUCAUGACGGCUGCAGCUGGCUAUCACUCUCCGCCAUGGCUACACAGGAGAUAUGGAUCGUUUUGUGUGAAUCCAACGGUGUCUUCGUCCAGUUUAAUCUGUUUCAGAGUAAAUCUGCUCAGCUGAAGGAAAAGUUCAUGUUUAUAGCUGUUUAAGUGAACUUGAAUGUUUAAAUGGGAGGUGAAUGUUAACAUUGACCAUAAAGUUCAGUCUCAGUGGUUUAAAUGUGUUCUACUGGUUAUACUGGCAAAUGUUGUGCAUUCAAACUAAAACUAUGAACUAUUUCAAUCAAGGGAUUACUGAGGAAACAGAACCUGAUCCAGAGGUGAUCUGCAUCCAGAUGUGGAUGGAGAGGUUUGUUUUUCAAUGCUUGAAUUAAUGCACGCAUGAAUAACAUAUUGAGUUGGUAGUGUGUGAUUCUUUUUGUCCUCAGAGUCUUCAGGGUUGGAUGUGACGCCAAACAAGCCAGGAAUAAAAUAGGCAUAAUUUGAAGGCUUAAUCCAAGGUUGUCAGUCUGGUGUCAUAAAGGCUCCUGGUGCUGCAGGGAUGAGUCUCCACCUCCACCCAGCAGAAACCCAGCUGGUGGAGACAGGACCAGCUGGUUCAUGGGGGAUCUGAGCAGGACCAGGCCUCAUCGCAUCCCAGGAGGAAGAAUUUUGAUCUGGCUCCAUCAACAACUCCAGAAGGAUGGAGAAAUGCCCGAUGGCCAGGAGAGCAAAGCUCCAGGUUCCUCCACCUGCUCCUGUCUGGAAGUGGAUCACUCUGUGAUGAUGUUCAUCAGCUCAUCCACAACACUGAGGAAGGUCCAGAACUCUGCCGGAACCAGACCGAAGCUCCUCACUCCAACCAGGGGCUUUUUCCUGGAGCAGAAUCUGUAACAAUAUAACAGUGUUCUCCCUGGACAACACUGAAGAUUGGAGUCACAUGACCUCCAGGAUCGACAUCUUAUCAUUGACCUGUUCAUAUAGUUGUUGUUGUUCCUGGUAAAUAAAAGAAAGAACUGUAGAAUUUUUUUUAA